rnacentral:rRNA from 1 species
UGCAAGUCGAACGAUGAAAGCAGGAGCUUGCUUUUGCUGGAUUAGUGGCGAACGGGUGAGUAACACGUGAGUAACCUGCCCUUGACUCUGGGAUAAGCGUUGGAAACGACGUCUAAUACCGGAUACGAGCUAGGACCGCAUGGUCACUAGUUGGAAAGAAUUUCGGUCGAGGAUGGACUCGCGGCCUAUCAGCUAGUUGGUGAGGUAACGGCCCACCAAGGCGACGACGGGUAGCCGGCCUGAGAGGGUGACCGGCCACACUGGGACUGAGACACGGCCCAGACUCCUACGGGAGGCAGCAGUGGGGAAUAUUGCACAAUGGGCGCAAGCCUGAUGCAGCAACGCCGCGUGAGGGACGACGGCCUUCGGGUUGUAAACCUCUUUUAGCAGGGAAGAAGCGAAAGUGACGGUACCUGCAGAAAAAGCACCGGCUAACUACGUGCCAGCAGCCGCGGUAAUACGUAGGGUGCAAGCGUUGUCCGGAAUUAUUGGGCGUAAAGAGCUCGUAGGCGGUUUGUCGCGUCUGCUGUGAAAAUCCGAGGCUCAACCUCGGACCUGCAGUGGGUACGGGCAAACUAGAGUGCGGUAGGGGAGAUUGGAAUUCCUGGUGUAGCGGUGGAAUGCGCAGAUAUCAGGAGGAACACCAAUGGCGAAGGCAGAUCUCUGGGCCGUAACUGACGCUGAGGAGCGAAAGCGUGGGGAGCGAACAGGAUUAGAUACCCUGGUAGUCCACGCCGUAAACGGUGGGAACUAGAUGUGGGGUCCGUUCCACGGAUUCCGUGUCGCAGCUAACGCAUUAAGUUCCCCGCCUGGGGAGUACGGCCGCAAGGCUAAACUCAAAGGAUUGACGGGGGCCCGCACAAGCGCGAGCAUGCGAUUAUUCGAUGCACGCGAGACUUACAGGCUGACAUAUAGAGAAAGUGUAGAAUACACUCCCGCAGUCUUCUUAUACAGUGGUGCAUGCUGUCGUCAGCUCUUCUGGAAUGUAGUUAAGUCCGCACGAGCCCAACCUCGGUCAUGUUGCAGCACGGUA